GAAGGUGUGCUGUGAGGCAUGCUGGAGGUAUCAGAAGUGCGAAUGCUGACAUAAGUAACGAUAAAGCGGGUGAAAAGCCCGCUCGCCGGAAGACCAAGGGUUCCUGUCCAACGUUAAUCGGGGCAGGGUGAGUCGACCCCUAAGGCGAGGCCGAAAGGCGUAGUCGAUGGGAAACAGGUUAAUAUUCCUGUACUUGGUGUUACUGCGAAGGGGGGACGGAGAAGGCUAUGUUGGCCGGGCGACGGUUGUCCCGGUUUAAGCGUGUAGGCUGGUUUUCCAGGCAAAUCCGGAAAAUCAAGGCUGAGGCGUGAUGACGAGGCACUACGGUGCUGAAGCAACAAAUGCCCUGCUUCCAGGAAAAGCCUCUAAGCAUCAGGUAACAUCAAAUCGUACCCCAAACCGACACAGGUGGUCAGGUAGAGAAUACCAAGGCGCUUGAGAGAACUCGGGUGAAGGAACUAGGCAAAAUGGUGCCGUAACUUCGGGAGAAGGCACGCUGAUAUGUAGGUGAAGUCCCUCGCGGAUGGAGCUGAAAUCAGUCGAAGAUACCAGCUGGCUGCAACUGUUUAUUAAAAACACAGCACUGUGCAAACACGAAAGUGGACGUAUACGGUGUGACGCCUGCCCGGUGCCGGAAGGUUAAUUGAUGGGGUUAGCGCAAGCGAAGCUCUUGAUCGAAGCCCCGGUAAACGGCGGCCGUAACUAUAACGGUCCUAAGGUAGCGAAAUUCCUUGUCGGGUAAGUUCCGACCUGCACGAAUGGCGUAAUGAUGGCCAGGCUGUCUCCACCCGAGACUCAGUGAAAUUGAACUCGCUGUGAAGAUGCAGUGUACCCGCGGCAAGACGGAAAGACCCCGUGAACCUUUACUAUAGCUUGACACUGAACAUUGAGCCUUGAUGUGUAGGAUAGGUGGGAGGCUUUGAAGUGUGGACGCCAGUCUGCAUGGAGCCGACCUUGAAAUACCACCCUUUAAUGUUUGAUGUUCUAACGUUGACCCGUAAUCCGGGUUGCGGACAGUGUCUGGUGGGUAGUUUGACUGGGGCGGUCUCCUCCUAAAGAGUAACGGAGGAGCACGAAGGUUGGCUAAUCCUGGUCGGACAUCAGGAGGUUAGUGCAAUGGCAUAAGCCAGCUUGACUGCGAGCGUGACGGCGCGAGCAGGUGCGAAAGCAGGUCAUAGUGAUCCGGUGGUUCUGAAUGGAAGGGCCAUCGCUCAACGGAUAAAAGGUACUCCGGGGAUAACAGGCUGAUACCGCCCAAGAGUUCAUAUCGACGGCGGUGUUUGGCACCUCGAUGUCGGCUCAUCACAUCCUGGGGCUGAAGUAGGUCCCAAGGGUAUGGCUGUUCGCCAUUUAAAGUGGUACGCGAGCUGGGUUUAGAACGUCGUGAGACAGUUCGGUCCCUAUCUGCCGUGGGCGCUGGAGAACUGAGGGGGGCUGCUCCUAGUACGAGAGGACCGGAGUGGACGCAUCACUGGUGUUCGGGUUGUCAUGCCAAUGGCACUGCCCGGUAGCUAAAUGCGGAAGAGAUAAGUGCUGAAAGCAUCUAAGCACGAAACUUGCCCCGAGAUGAGUUCUCCCUGACUCCUUGAGAGUCCUGAAGGAACGUUGAAGACGACGACGUUGAUAGGCCGGGUGUGUAAGCGCAGCGAUGCGUUGAGCUAACCGGUACUAAUGAACCGUGAGGCUUAACCUUACAACGCCGAAG
rnacentral:rRNA from 1 species